rnacentral:rRNA from 1 species
AUUGAUUUUAUGCUUGCAUAAAUGAUUUUUGGAUUCGGAGCGAGUGGCGAACUGGUGAGUAACACGUGGGUAACCUGCCCCGAAGCGGGGGAUAACAUUUGGAAACAAGUGCUAAUACCGCAUAAUUAGUUGGAACCGCAUGGCUCCAACUUGAAAGAUGGCUCUGCUAUCACUUUGGGAUGGACCCGCGCCGUAUUAGUUAGUUGGUGAGAUAAAAGCCCACCAAGACGAUGAUACGUAGCCGACCUGAGAGGGUAAUCGGCCACAUUGGGACUGAGACACGGCCCAGACUCCUACGGGAGGCAGCAGUAGGGAAUCUUCCACAAUGGACGAAAGUCUGAUGGAGCAACGCCGCGUGAGUGAUGAAGGUUUUCGGAUCGUAAAACUCUGUUGUUAAAGAAGAACAAGUGUUAGAGUAACUGUUAACACUUUGACGGUAUUUAACCAGAAAGCCACGGCUAACUACGUGCCAGCAGCCGCGGUAAUACGUAGGUGGCAAGCGUUGUCCGGAUUUAUUGGGCGUAAAGCGAGCGCAGGCGGUUUUGUAAGUCUGCUGUGAAAGCCCUCAGCUCAACUGGGGAAGUGCAGUGGAAACUACAAAACUUGAGUACAGAAGAGGAAAGUGGAACUCCAUGUGUAGCGGUGAAAUGCGUAGAUAUAUGGAAGAACACCAGUGGCGAAGGCGGCUUUCUGGUCUGUUACUGACGCUGAGGCUCGAAAGCAUGGGUAGCGAACAGGAUUAGAUACCCUGGUAGUCCAUGCCGUAAACGAUGAAUACUAGGUGUUGGAGGGUUUCCGCCCUUCAGUGCCGCAGCUAACGCAUUAAGUAUUCCGCCUGGGGAGUACGACCGCAAGGUUGAAACUCAAAGGAAUUGACGGGGGCCCGCACAAGUGGUGGAGCAUGUGGUUUAAUUCGAUGCUACGCGAAGAACCUUACCGGCUCUUGACAUCUUCUGCCAACCCAAGAGAUUGGGCGUUCCCUUCGGGGACAGAAUGACAGGUGGUGCAUGGUUGUCGUCAGCUCGUGUCGUGAGAUGUUGGGUUAAGUCCCGCAACGAGCGCAACCCUUAUUAUUAGUUGCCAGCAUUUAGUUGGGCACUCUAGUGAGACUGCCGGUGAUAAA